rnacentral:rRNA from 1 species
UACGGGGGGGGUAAGCGUUGUUCGGAAUUACUGGGCGUAAAGCGUGCGUAGACGGCUAUCUAAGUCGGGUGUGAAAGCCCCGGGCUCAACCUGGGAAUUGCAUUCGAGACUGAAUAGCUAGGGUGCGGUAGAGGGAAGCGGAAUUUCCGGUGUAGCGGUGAAAUGCGUAGAUAUCGGAAGGAACAUCAGUGGCGAAAGCGGCUUCCUGGACCAGUACCGACGUUCAGGCACGAAAGCGUGGGGAGCAAACAGG